rnacentral:rRNA from 1 species
GGAUGAACGCUGGCGGUAUGCCUAACACAUGCAAGUCGUACGAGGGUUUUUAACUCUAGUGGCGGACGGGUGAGUAACACGUGAGAAUUUGCCUUUAGGAGGGGGAUAACAAUCGGAAACGAAUGCUAAUACCCCAUAUGCUUUUGAGUGAAAUGGAUUUAUCCGCCUAAAGAGAAGCUCGCGGCUGAUUAGCUUGUUGGUAAGGUAAGAGCUUACCAAGCCGACGAUCCAUAGCUGGUUUGAGAGGAUGAUCAGCCACACUGGGACUGAGACACGGCCCAGACUCCUACGGGAGGCAGCAGUGGGGAAUCUUAGACAAUGGGGGAAACCCUGAUCUAGCCAUGCCGCGUGAUCGAUGAAGGCCUUAGGGUUGUAAAGAUCCUUCAGGUGGGAAGAUAAUGACUGUACCACCAGAAGAAGCCCCGGCUAACUCCGUG